UACGUAGGUGGCAAGCGUUGUCCGGAAUUAUUGGGCGUAAAGCGCGCGCAGGCGGCCUUUUAAGUCUGAUGUGAAAGCCCCCGGCUCAACCGGGAAGGUCAUUGGAAACUGAGAGGCUUGAGUACAGAAGAGGAAGCGGAAUUCCACGUGUAGCGGUGAAAUGCGUAGAGAUGUGGAGGAACACCAGUGGCGAAGGCGACAUCCUGGACCGGUAUUGACGCUGAGGCGCGAAGCCAGGGAGCAAACGGG
rnacentral:rRNA from 1 species